ensembl:lncRNA
CCAUCACCAUCUUCAUCAGCCUCUUCCUGCUCAGUGUGUGCUACAGCGCCUCUGUCACACUCUUCAAGGUGAAGUGGAUCUUCUCCUCGGUGGUGCAGGUGAAGCAGACGAUGGUCCCUGACUACAGAAACAUGAUUGGGCAAGGUGCCUAGCUUGUCUCUACAGAAGGCGCCAGAGCUUGCUAGCCCUCUAGGACCAAGCCCAUGCUGCUGAACAACCAGACACACAGGUUAUACUGCCUUCUCAUCUCAGCAUUCUUUGAUCUUAUGGCUCUCACUCUGCUAUCAACAUCCCUUCCACAUUGUAAGGAGCAUGUGGAGAGCAGGCUUUACCACAGACGGUAGCCAACAGGACCCAAGUACUACUACCACAGCCAGAACAAUGGAUAGGCCAAAAUUGCGGUGUUUCUUCUACAUGGUGUCUAGCUCUCAGCCAGGCACUCUCCCAGGAGGGGUUGCAUCACCUGCAUGCAUUUAGAAGCAGAUGAGCCUUAGAGCCAAUCCUGUCUACACAGUCCUCUGAAAAAACAUGCUUCUCUGGGAGAGGAGGACUUUCCAUAUAUCUCUGAGACUGAGAAGGCCCCAAAGGGACCUCUCUGGGAAAGACUACCAAAGGUGAUUCUAACGGCCUUCACCCGACCAGUGCCCUGCCAUGUUUUUCUCUGACACCUAAGUGAACUCUCACUUCUUGGACUGUAAGAUGGGGCUCCUUGUGAAGAUGCCUCUUCCUGCCAUCCAUGCGAUGUGAUGAAUUCCCAGAUAUAAAAUCCCAUCGGAGACACUGCUGACUCCACAGCUUGAAGACCCUGUUACCUCACCAGAUGAUCUAGAGAGACACUCAGCUUCACAGUCUCUGUUGGGCCCUAGCAGGUGCAGGAGCCCCUGAGCAGUGGCUGAGCAACACAGAAAAGUCUGUAGGAGAAGAGCAUGAUGAACACACCCUGAUCAGUCCAGAAGGUGGUAGGAGCAACAUGGGGGAAAAGAGAGGAUGCUUUGAAAGCCAGGCAGGAAUGGGCUUUUCCUGCAGCCCGGCAUCCAGAUUGGGCCACUGACAGCAGAGAACACCAAUUAGAGUAAACAUCCAGGGAGAGAGCCCAGGCCUGGGGCACUGAGGCUGACUGACCGCUGGCAUUGGAGAGGCACCGUGACUGUUUCUCCAUUUCAUAUCAAGGCAAAUGCCAGGCCAG